CGUUGAAAUACCGUUUCCUGUACGAUCACCAAAGAUAAGUAACGUCGAGCCUAGUCAGUACCUAGAUAGGUGACCACUUGGGAAUACCAGGUGCUGUAA